AAUAGCCUGUUCCUUUUCAUUGACCUUAUUUCUUGUGCUCAUUGAUUCUGAAGCUGUCAUAGGCCAGAACAACUCCCUUCUUUCCCCCUGGGCACCAUGAAACAAGUAUCCGCCCCAGAAAAUGAGAAAGAGAAACAACUCAGGGAUUCGGUGCAAAGAUAUCAGAAUAAAUUGGCAGAACAGCAGUCAUGGAACUCUCACCCUGUGCCAGCAAGUAAGACCACAGAAUUCCUCCCCAGCUCUCAAGCUUCAGCUCCAAAGGAAUAUGCAAAAUCCAGGGCAGUGCCUCAAAGAGACUCUUCAGAAGGAGAUACCUGCUCAUCCUCAGUGGAUUGGAGCAGCCAUUUGAGCCAGAAAAGGAGGAGGUCAAGGUCAGGCUCAACCUCAAGUCAUGUUUUGGAGGGUAAAAUUCCAGAAACAACUGUGAGGAAGAAAUUGAAAGUGAAGCAGUCAAGAAGAC
rnacentral:lncRNA from 1 species